rnacentral:rRNA from 1 species
AUACGGAGGGUGCAAGCGUUACUCGGAAUCACUGGGCGUAAAGCGCGCGCGGGCGGCUAUUUAAGUUGGAUGUGAAAGCCUACGGCUCAACCGUAGAACUGCAUCCAAAACUAUUUAGCUAGAGUGUGGGAGAGGAAGAUGGAAUUAGUUGUGUAGGGGUAAAAUCCGUAGAGAUAACUAGGAAUACCAAAAGCGAAGGCAAUCUUCUGGAACACUACUGACGCUGAGGCGCGAAAGCGUGGGGAGCAAACAGGAUUAGAAACCCUAGUAGUCC